CAACCUCCGCCUCCCGGGUUCAAGCGAUUCUCGUGCCUCAGCUUCCAGAGUAGCUGGGAAUACAGUUGCCUACCACCACGCCAGGCUAAUUUUUGUAUUUUGAGUAGAGAAGGGGCUCCACCAUGUUGGCCAAGCUUGUCUCGAACUCCUGACCUCAAUUGAUCCGCCCGCCAUGGCAUCCCAAAGUGCUGGGAUUACAGGUGUGACCCACCGCGCUAGGCUGUCAUUGCAGACUCUGAUGGGGACCACACUCGGGUUAUAAAUUAGGAUCCUCACUGAAAGGGUAGGACCAUGGGGAGCUUUUUCUUGGCCCCUUGGUUGUGGGUUUUCUUCUGGGCGGCGGAGCCUGUUUCCACCAGAACUGCUCAGAGGCGGCCUCUGCCUUCCUGGGGUGACGCAGCAGCGGGAAGCUUUUGCGGAUCCUAGAAUCCGUGGGCGGCCUGUGGGAGGGGCUGAGGCGCAUUUCCCUACUCACCCGGCCCCGAAUCCACCGCAGUGCUGUUUCAAGCGAGUCAGAUUCCAGAUCGCGCUCCAGCCUGGACUCGGAAUUCCUGCCCCGCGGGUCUGCAUUUUCACAGCGGCAGGUGUGACUGACCCGCAGCUGGAGACCAGAAGCCUAAAGGCAGCUCCGCCCUCCCCAGCCCACAGCGCCGUUAUUCCGUUUCUAUAUCAGUAAACACUUGUCAUUUUUCCUUAGCCCGGGGCGGGGUGACCGGUGAUCCCAGUCCUCGCAGUGAACUCCGGGCAGCAGAAUUCAAAACGCUUGCGGCCGCCGAGCGCAGCCCCGCCCUGGUUUAUGUAAAUGACCGCACUGGGCCGUUUCUUUCUUUUCCGGACCCAGCAGUGGAGCCUAAAGUCUGCGAGGAGGAAGUCACCUCUAUGCUCGUGAGUCCAGGAAUCUAAGGAAGGGAAGGAGCCAACUCUGGACUCAAGAUUCAAGGGGACCAGACCCAGAGAGAUGAGACAUACCAGGACUGGGCAGCUGUGGGGGUCCUUCCAGAGAGGAGCUGAGAUACACCUACCUGGAGGGGCCCCAGGGCCUGGAGGGGCUCCUCAGUGUGACUGGCCCCAGGCUCUGGCCUCUCUCUCUCCUCUUCUACCCUCUAGCCGGUAAUGACUGAUUUCCCACUGAGGAGCCAGCUCUAGGGAGCUGUCCUUCCUCCAGGCCCAGGGAAGUGAAAAAAGAAGCAGGAACAGUGAAAUACGCCACAGGAAAGAAAAAUCUUAGUGAUCCCUCCUGCUGUCUCUCUCCUUUUGUCUAUUCUGGCAAAUUUUGUAAGUGAAAUUUGUUACCAAGAUGUGAAAAUCUUAUUAUAAGAAAGUCUCUAAAUAUUUGAGAAUAAAAUGAUCAAUGUCUCAGCUCUGCAGGCUGAAAAAACAGAAUCUUUACAAAAUAAAAUCAUGUUUGGAAAACUUCUCCUCUGAGGGAUAUCAAAGCCUGCACUGAAUAAGCUCUAAGGAGGUGCUGAAAUGACUGCCAUUUAUUUGCCUGUGUAAGCUCAGGCAGGUGUUGGAAUUGAGGAAGGAUAGGUAAUGAAAAAAGUAACCAUGUGCUUGGGGCACAGUGACGGUGAUGACCACAGAAUCAACACAAUAAGCUCUAGCAUUUGCAUCGUAGUCCAGUUCAUUCAAGCAAAGCUAUCUCCAAUAGGGAAUUUACCCUGUACAGAACAUGUGCAUUUUGAUUUCACCUUUUCUAACUGACCCUUUGCUCAUGACAAUAGUGAAAAAAUACAGCCCUGGGUGGAGAUUUAAGAUACUAACGAGUCAUGAGAUGUAUGAACAUGCAUGUACAGCUACUGCACAUGUGCACCAAGAAGACCACCCAGAACAUGCUCACUAGUAACCCCUCUUCCCACCCACCUCCUACGAAUAAUCAUGUAAGACUCCCAUAAAGGGAGUUUCUCCAGCAGUAAUCAAUGCUGCCUCAUCCAUAGGAGCAGCCCGCCCUGAAUCCUCUCUCUCAGGGUAUACAGUUUAUUUUGCACUUAACUUUCAAAAUAGUAUUUUUCCUUUGUAAUAAAUUGCUUUGUACUUCUC